AAAGAGAGGCAAAGCCGCGAGGCAGAGCAAAUCUCAAAAAAGCCGUCCCAGUUCGGAUUGCAGGCUGCAACCCGCCUGCAUGAAGUUGGAAUCGCUAGUAAUCGCGGAUCAGCAUGCCGCGGUGAAUACGUUCCCGGGCCUUGUACACACCGCCCGUCACACCAUGAGAGUCGGGAACACCCGAAGUCCGUAGUCUGACCGCAAGGGGGACGCGGCCGAAGGUGGGUUCGAUAAUUGGGGUGAAGUCGUAACAAGGUAAC
rnacentral:rRNA from 1 species